rnacentral:rRNA from 1 species
GGAGCAUGCGGCUUAAUGCGACGCAACGCGAAGAACCUUACCAAGGCUUGACAUAUACAGGAAUAUGGCAGAAAUGUCAUAGCCGCAAGGUCUGUAUACAGGUGGUGCAUGGUUGUCGUCAGCUCGUGUCGUGAGAUGUUGGGUUAAGUCCCGCAACGAGCGCAACCCUCGUUCUGUGUUGCCAGCAUUUAGUUGGGGACUCACAGGAGACUGCCGGGGUUAACUCGGAGGAAGGUGGGGAUGACGUCAAAUCAUCAUGCCCCUUAUGUCUUGGGCUGCACGCAUGCUACAAUGGCUGGUACAAACGGCUGCGAUACCGCAAGGUGGAGCGAAUCCGAUAAAGCCAGUCUCAGUUCGGAUUGGGGUCUACAACUCGACCCCAUGAAGUCGGAGUUGCUAGUAAUCGUAGAUCAGCAACGCUACGGUGAAUACGUUCCCGGGGCUUGUACACACCGCCCGUCACGUCACGAAAGUCGGUAACACCCGAAGUCAGUGCCCAACCGUAAGGGG